UACGAAGGGGGCUAGCGUUGCUCGGAAUUACUGGGCGUAAAGGGCGCGUAGGCGGAUAGUUUAGUCAGAGGUGAAAGCCCAGGGCUCAACCUUGGAAUUGCCUUUGAUACUGGCUAUCUUGAGUUCGGGAGAGGUGAGUGGAAUGCCGAGUGUAGAGGUGAAAUUCGUAGAUAUUGGGAAGAACACCGGUGGCGAAGGCGGCGACCUGGUCCUUGACUGACGCUGAGGCGCGAAAGCGUGGGGAGCAAACAGG
rnacentral:rRNA from 1 species